GGUCUGGUGGUGUAAUGGUAACAUAUCUGCCCUGAGUACUAGGGAAACGAAGUCCGUCUUUGCAGGAGUUCCUUGUUCGAUUCAAGGUCCGGCCA